ensembl:lncRNA
ACCCUAUAGUUGAACAGAGCUCCUUACUGGCUGUCUCUAGCCUGGACUGUGUCUGGCUCGGGGGUGAUGAUGCCCAUAGCCAAUCAGAGAUUGAUGGAGGGCAGACACCAGCAGCAGAAAUUAGCUCUAUGCUUUGAAGUCUUCCACAUGGAGGGAAAUUGAUAUAUCAGUUUAAGACCAGGACCCUAUUAAAGGAGGCCCCGUCAGGUUAAUGCAAUAGCCUCCACAUUUCCCCCCAACCUCAUUCAGGCCGCUCGGACAGGGCCCUAAUUCCUGCCCUGGCCCUGCUCGCCCCACUCGCACCAAUCUCAUUUUAUCUUCUCCCAUCAGCAAUAUUCCUCCCAUUGGAGGCAAUAUGGUGUGGAGUAAAUCACACAGUUAAACACUGGCUUGGGCCAUCCCAUAUGCUCUCUCUCUCUAUUUCUCGGCAUCUCUCUUUCGUAUCUCUUUCUCUUUCCCUCUCUCUCUCCCUCCAGCCCGGGAUUCUCGUGGCAUUGGGAUCGUAAGCCGUUUCGGCCGGUCAGUGGAGGGCCUCGGUCUGUCAACCCCCCCUCCCCCUUACCCUUCCAUCACUCAAUGGGCACCCUAAUCCCACCCUACCCUUCUUCCAGAAGGUCUCACCCGGCUCUGUCCCCUGGUCAAAGAGACCAAUCAAAGGACCCCGGGACCUCAGAGACUUGGCCGACGAGUGAACGUCAAGGUGCGGAACAGGGUGUGUGUCUCACUGGCAUACACACCAUGUCAAACUGAAUUAAAGACGUCUUACUUAACACACAGGCCAUUCGAUCCGAGGGCUGACAAUGAUGCCAUCAAAUCCACAGUAUGUGGCACCACUAUACCAAACCUCAAGACUUUUCUUGUUGUAGGUGUUGUUAUUGUUGCCUCUCUGGUUGUCAUCUUAUUGUUUGGGUGAUAUGAGGAAAUCUAAAGAAAGAUGAGGAUGAGGAAAACGUCUCCGCAAUAUACACAAAAUGUCUGUGAUUGGUUCCAUCUCUGUAUCUGUCACCAUAUUCCUACAGCAAAAUCAAAACAUUUUGCUGGUUGAAUUCAAAAACAUGGUGCUGAGUGCAGCAAAAUAAAUUGCCAUCUUUGGUUUAUUUGUGUGCAUUGUAAACAUACCUAACA